GACGUAGGGGGCAAGCGUUGUCCGGAAUUAUUGGGCGUAAAGCGCUCGUAGGCGGAUCGGUAAGUCUGUGAAGAAAGACCCGGGCUCAACUCGGGGAACGGCAUAGAUACUGCUGAUCUUGAGACAGUCAGAGGAUGAUGGAAUUCCAGGUGUAGCGGUGAAAUGCGUAGAUAAUCUGGAGGAACACCAGUGGCGAAGGCGAUCAUCUGGGGCUGUUCUGACGCUGAGGAGCGAAAGCUAGGGGAGCAAGCGGG
rnacentral:rRNA from 1 species